CUGACAAGUCUACAACUGUGAGUGUUUACAAUUUUCUUUGUUUUGUUACUUGAUUUUACAACUGCCUUAUUCAUGCUCUGACAGUUUGCUUUUCUGGGAUAUCCUUAGUCAAAAAAAUUCCAUGGACAUGUAUUCCUUUAUAUCCAAAUUGCACCUGAUCCUAUCUACCAUUUCUUGUUUAUUAGAUUUAUGUAUGAAUUCAUUAUUGUUUUUCCCUUUUCUUUCUCUGGUUUUCAAUAUCCAUUGAAACAAAAGAACAUUUUUAAUUAUUGUGUUGAGAUACCUCUGCAAUUGCAUUACUCAUUUCACAAGCAAAUAUCUUGAGAUGAUUAAAUAGAACUGCUAUUAAGUAAGAAUAGCAUUAAGUUUGGUGGUAAGUGAAUGAGAAUAGUGACUUAGGCUCCUUUUGCUUCGCAAAAAAUAACUUGUAUAUGGAAGAUGUUUUUCAUGAAAAAUGUUUUCUAAAAAAUAUUUUCUAUGAAAAUAUUUUCUGUUGUUUGGUUG
rnacentral:misc_RNA from 1 species